GCCUCGGUAAAGCAGUAGGCAGCGCGUCAGUCUCAAAAUCUGAAGGUCGUGAGUUCGAUCCUCACCCGGGGCA
rnacentral:tRNA from 1 species